GAGUGAUCGAAAGAUGAAAAGCACUUUGAAAAGAGAGUUAAACAGCACGUGAAAUUGUUGAAAGGGAAGCGUUUGCGACCAGACUCGCCCGCGGGGUUCAGCCGGCAUUCGUGCCGGUGUACUUCCCCGUGGGCGGGCCAGCGUCGGUUUGGGCGGCCGGUCAAAGGCCCUCGGAAUGUAUCACCCCCCGGGGUGUCUUAUAGCCGAGGGUGCAAUGCGGCCUGCCCGGACCGAGG
rnacentral:rRNA from 1 species